rnacentral:rRNA from 1 species
CUGAGUACGGCGGAACACGUGAAAUUCCGUCGGAAUCCGGGAGGACCAUCUCCCAAGGCUAAAUACUCCCUAGUGACCGAUAGUGAACCAGUACCGUGAGGGAAAGGUGAAAAGCACCCCGGAAGGGGAGUGAAACAGUUCCUGAAACCGUGUGCCUACAAGUAGUUAGAGCCCGUUAAUGGGUGAUAGCGUGCCUUUUGUAGAAUGAACCGGCGAGUUACGAUUUGUUGCAAGGUUAAGCGGAAAAAGCGGAGCCGUAGCGAAAGCGAGUCUGAAUAGGGCGCAUAAGUAACAGGUCGUAGACCCGAAACCAGGUGAUCUACCCAUGUCCAGGAUGAAGGUAAGGUAAUACUUACUGGAGGUCCGAACCCACGCACGUUGAAAAGUGCGGGGAUGAGGUGUGGGUAGCGGAGAAAUUCCAAUCGAACUUGGAGAUAGCUGGUUCUCUCCGAAAUAGCUUUAGGGCUAGCCUCGAGGUAAAGAGUCAUGGAGGUAGAGCACUGUUUGGACUAGGGGCCCUUCUCGGGUUACCGAAUUCAGAUAAACUCCGAAUGCCAUGUACUUAUACUCGGGAGUCAGACUGCGAGUGAUAAGAUCCGUAGUCGAAAGGGAAACAGCCCAGACCACCAGUUAAGGUCCCCAAAUAUAUGUUAAGUGGAAAAGGAUGUGGGGUUGCUUAGACAACCAGGAUGUUGGCUUAGAAGCAGCCACCAUUGAAAGAGUGCGUAAUAGCUCACUGGUCGAGUGACCCCGCGCCGAAAAUGUACCGGGGCUAAACAUAUUACCGAAACUGUGGAUGAACCUCUUUAGAGGUUCGUGGUAGGAGAGCGUUCUAAGGGCGGUGAAGUCAGACCGGAAGGACUGGUGGAGCGCUUAGAAGUGAGAAUGCCGGUAUGAGUAGCGAAAGAAGGGUGAGAAUCCCUUCCACCGAAUAUCUAAGGUUUCCUGAGGAAGGCUCGUCCGCUCAGGGUUAGUCGGGACCUAAGCCGAGGCCGAUAGGCGUAGGCGAUGGACAACAGGUAGAGAUUCCUGUACCAGUGCUAAUUGUUUAACCGAUGGGGUGAC